CUAGCGGCGGACGGCUGAGUAACGCGUAGGAAUCUACCCCUCUCCGGAAGAUACCUCACCGAAAGGUGAGCUAAUAUUCCAUAGUCUAAGCCUAGCUUAGUAAAGUCGCAAGACGGGAAGGGAUGAGCCUGCGUCCUAUCAGGUAGUUGGUGGGGUAAAAGCCCACCAAGCCUAUGACGGGUAGCUGGUCUGAGAGGAUGGUCAGCCAGAGGGGGACUGAGACACGGCCCCC
rnacentral:rRNA from 1 species